rnacentral:rRNA from 1 species
CCUACGGGUGGCAGCAGUAGGGAAUUUUCGUCAAUGGGCGCAAGCCUGAACGAGCGAUGCCGCGUGAGUGAAGAAGGCCUUCGGGUCGUAAAGCUCUAUUGCGGGGGAAGAAGGCAGAAUCAGGCCAUGGGUGCUGACUGAUGGUGCCCCGCCAGAAAGUCACGGCUAACUACGUGCCAGCAGCCGCGGUAAGACAUAGGUGGCGAGCGUUAUCCGGAAUGAUUGGGCGUAAAGGGUGCGUAGGCGGUCCUGGAAGUCUGGAGUGAAACGCAUGAGCUCAACUCAUGCAUUGCUUUGGAAACUGGAGGACUGGAGAGCAGGAGAGGGCGGUGGAACUCCAUGUGUAGCGGUAAAAUGCGUAGAUAUAAGGAAGAACACCAGUGGCGAAGGCGGCCGCCUGGCCUGUUGCUGACGCUGAGGCACGAAAGCGUGGGGAGCAAACAGGAUUAGAUACCCGAGUAGUC